CCAAUAGCGUAUAUUAAAGUUGUUGCAGUUAAAAAGCUCGUAGUUGAAUUUCGGGAUCAACCUAUCGGUCGUGCAAUAGUACGUACUGAUUUUAUUGAUUCCUCCCUUCUGAUGAACUAUGAUGUCAUUAAUUUGGUGUCAUAGGGAAUCAGGACUGUUACUUUGAAAAAAUUAGAGUGUUUAAAGCAGGCUCACGCUUGAAUACAUUAGCAUGGAAUAACGAAAUAGGACGUUUGAUUCUAUUUUGUUGGUUUCUAGGAUCGACGUAAUGAUUAAUAGGGAUAGUUGGGGGCAUUAGUAUUCAAUUGUCAGAGGUGAAAUUCUUGGAUUUAUUGAAGACUAACUACUGCGAAAGCAUUUGCCAAGGAUGUUUUCAUUAAUCAAGAACGAAAGUUAGGGGAUCGAAGAUGAUCAGAUACCGUCGUAGUCUUAACCAUAAACUAUGCCGACUAGGGAUCGGAUGAUGUUAAUUUUUUAAUGACUCAUUCGGCGCCUUACG
rnacentral:rRNA from 1 species